rnacentral:rRNA from 1 species
UACGUAGGGCGCGAGCGUUGUCCGGAAUUAUUGGGCGUAAAGAGCUCGUAGGCGGCCUGUUGCGUCCGCUGUGAAAUCCCGGGGCUUAACCCCGGGCGUGCAGUGGAUACGGGCUGGCUGGAGGCAGGCAGGGGAGAACGGAAUUCCCGGUGUAGCGGUGAAAUGCGCAGAUAUCGGGAGGAACACCGGUGGCGAAGGCGGUUCUCUGGGCAGUAACUGACGCUGAGGAGCGAAAGCGUGGGGAGCGAACAGG